CCUACGGGUGGCAGCAGUGGGGAAUUUUGGACAAUGGGCGCAAGCCUGAUCCAGCCAUGCCGCGUGUCUGAAGAAGGCCUUCGGGUUGUAAAGGACUUUUGUUAGGGAAGAAAAAGGAGCGGUUAAUACCCGUUUCUGCUGACGGUACCUAAAGAAUAAGCACCGGCUAACUACGUGCCAGCAGCCGCGGUAAUACGUAGGGUGCGAGCGUUAAUCGGAAUUACUGGGCGUAAAGCGAGCGCAGACGGUUACUUAAGCAGGAUGUGAAAUCCCCGGGCUUAACCUGGGAACUGCGUUCUGAACUGGGUGGCUAGAGUAUGUCAGAGGGGGGUAGAAUUCCACGUGUAGCAGUGAAAUGCGUAGAGAUGUGGAGGAAUACCGAUGGCGAAGGCAGCCCCCUGGGAUAAUACUGACGUUCAUGCUCGAAAGCGUGGGUAGCAAACAGGAUUAGAUACCCCUGUAGUC
rnacentral:rRNA from 1 species